GGCGAACGCUGGCGGCGUGCCUAAUACAUGCAAGUCGAACGCUUCUUUCCUCCCGAGUGCUUGCACUCAAUUGGAAAGCGGAGUGGCGGACGGGUGAGUAACACGUGUGUAACCUACCCAUCAGAGGGGGAUAACACUUGGAAACAGGUGCUAAUACCGCAUAACAGUUUAUGCCGCAUGGCAUAAGAGUGAAAGGCGCUUUCGGGUGUCGCUGAUGGAUGGACCCGCGGUGCAUUAGCUAGUUGGUGAGGUAACGGGUCACCAAGGCCGCGAUGCAUAGCCGACCUGUGAGGGUGAUCGGCCACACGGGAACUGAGACACGGCCCAGACUCCUACGGGAGGCAGCAGUAGGGAAUCGUCGGCAAUGGACGAAAGUCUGACCGAGCAACGCCGCGUGAGUGAAGAAGGUUUUCGGAUCGUAAAACUCUGUUGUUAGAGAAGAACAAGGACGUUAGUAACUGAACGUCCCCUGACGGUAUCUAACCAGAAAGCCACGGCUAACUACGUG
rnacentral:rRNA from 1 species